UACGUAGGGUCCGAGCGUUGUCCGGAAUUAUUGGGCGUAAAGAGCUCGUAGGCGGUUUGUCGCGUCUGCUGUGAAAUCCCGAGGCUCAACCUCGGGUCUGCAGUGGGUACGGGGCAGACUAGAGUGUUGCAGGGGAGACUGGAAUUCCUGGUGUAGCGGUGAAAUGCGCAGAUAUCAGGAGGAACACCGGUGGCGAAGGCGGGUCUCUGGGCAACAACUGACGCUGGAGGAGCGAAAGCGUGGGGAGCGAACAGG
rnacentral:rRNA from 1 species